rnacentral:rRNA from 1 species
UACGUAGGCCGCAAGCGUUGUUCGGAGUUACUGGGCGUAAAGGGUGUGUAGGCGGUUUUCUAAGUUUGGUGUGAAAUCUCCCGGCUCAACUGGGAGGGUGCGCCGAAAACUGGAAAGCUAGAGUACUGGAUGGGAGAGUGGAAUUCCUGGUGUAGCGGUGAAAUGCGUAGAUAUCAGGAGGAACACCUGUGGUGUAGACGGCUCUCUGGACAGUCACUGACGCUGAGACACGAAAGCGUGGGUAGCAAACAGG